rnacentral:lncRNA from 1 species
UUCAGCAAUCCAUAGGUAAUCAUAGAUUCUUGGAAUAUGUAACUUGAAAGCCUCUGAAUUCGGAUCUUCUGCCCAACAGCAAAGCAUAUUUAAAACCUGCAAUCCGCAACAACCUCAAACUCUAAUUGACAUGUAGAAAUAUGCAAAAGGAUUGGGAGGAACUUGAACUUCAAUAAAAAAACCAAAAUGACAAACUAAUGAACAGUUAAAACAGUCAUCCAGACAAAGGACCAGAUUUAUUAAAGAUCAGUAAAGCAUUUAAGAACCUAACUAAUAAACUAUUCUUGACUUAAAAAUUUUUAAUAACAGCAUUAUCAUCAUAACCAACACCAAGUUUGGCAGGCUGAAGAGUGUGAGUGAAAAUGGGGAUGGAAAGAUAGGUGAGGAAAAAGGACAAUUGGGUGGAGGAAGAGCCUCCAGACCCACCAAAAGCAUACAAAAUUAACUGAAACCAAAUAAAGGACUAAAUGUAAUCUUUUAUAUUAAACUAUUCUUCCUCUCUCCUUCCUUUCAACCCAACAAGAGGAGGAAAUAUUUAAAUCCAUCUCUCUUUCUAUCAUCAUCCCAUGUCUACUAUCCUUUUCCUCCUUCUUACUCUCCAUCACCUCUUCCAAAUGUAGUAUAAGUGGCAGCACUAAAACAUUACGUUUGCUCCCCUUAACAGACAAAGUUUAAAAACAAGUCUGUACAGCACCGAACCACUGGGAUAUGUACCUUAUUCACAGGUCCAAUGCAAAUAUAACGAGUGUUCUCAUCUUCAUAGUGUAUGUGCUCAAUUGCAGUGCGAAGAGCCUUUUCUCUCAACUUCUUCCCAGGCCAACGCAGCAAGAUUGGCUCAACAGCCAUAUGAAGAGAGGACCAAAGUAUAUCCUGUACGAGGGGGUGUGGAUAGUACAAAUCUUCCUGCAAAAAUUAAAGAAACUAAGUUUCUAGUAAGCAAAAAUGAGAUCAAUGAGAAUGGAUACACGAAUAGUUGACCAUAUUCCAACUAAUGGAACAAUAUAAAUAUUGCAAUCUGCUGAUUAUAUCCACAAGGUAUUUAGAUGCAUUCCUUAUUUUUGUAAUAAGAAAGAAAUGAAUUUUCUUGUGACAAAAAUUAGGAUCAAUGUCAAAGUACAGACAGAUAGUUCCGUAUACCAAUUGAUAUAACAAUAUAAACAUGCAAUCUGCAACUGCUGACUGUAAUCCACUAAGAUGUUUGGAACACAUUAACUGAACUUUGCUCGUGAAUGGAUCAUUAUUUUAAUAGAAACACAGUGAUACAUAGUAAUAGGUAGAAAUAAGAAAAGAAUAUACACAACUAUAGUAAAGCUAUCAAAGAAGUAGAUAAUAGCAGUCAAAUUUGUUACACAUAGAUUUUAGCACUGAUUUGAUGACAUGAUUAGUUUGACCAACCUUUGCACACUGGUUGCGUGCCUCAUUCCAAUCUAUUUCAUGGUAGGGGACAUUAAAAAGUUCUUUCCUCAAAGACAAAACUGUCGGUGUGAUUGGGCCAACAAACCUCUUCCCAUAAAGGUAAGACAUUGGCAGAUAGACCAUCCGGCAGUGACACCACAUCCUUCCUGCAGAGUAAUGUGCAAACCAUUUCUCUGUUAUGGUAUUUACUAGACGGUCAAAACAAUUAUUCAUGCAUGCCGCAAGAAAUCUUUAUGUGAAAUUUUACAGCUGGAACUUCAAUUUGAUUAAACAAUAACCACACUAGUCGAGAAUGGUGGCAGUUGAAAUCUCAAUAGUAGGACAAAGAACACAAUAUUUAAACUAAACUUUGAGAAGUGAAGAAGGCCCAGCAGAAUAGAGCAUAUUCUAUUUAUUGUUAGAAGAAUGCUAUAUCACUGGCAAGAUGCUAAAAAAAAUCAACCAGAGGUUGAUCACUUCAAAAUUGAUGCCGAUGAAAUAAAAAAAAGGCUCGGAGUUAAGCAUAAAAUGUAUGCUAUUGAACUAAUAUGACCACCUAAGCUGUGUUGAUUGCCAUAAUUGAUAGUGCACCACAAGUUAUGAGGUCAUGUCUCUAUCAGCCACGUUAGAGAAAUUGCAGAAAAUGCUUUUUUCCCCCUCUUGUAAGAAGCAAUCACUUAUUCUUCUCAAACACAGACACAAAUACAUACAGGAAAAACACUCAUACACAUAGAAUGAACAAAAGGCAAGAACCUGGAUGGAUAGGGAGCAUGUAUGGAAGAAGCCAUAUCUCAGGGGGCAGGGGAUUGUUGCCAGACCAUUCAAAUGCUCCAAGUACCUAUUACCAUCCACCAAUGCUACAAUGAUUAAAUACUGCACUAGAUUGAGUACAUAUAGAACUCUUUCCAGCACAAACUAGUAAGACGCGAAGGUCAGUUAUUCCAACAAGAUAAAGGUUAAGUUCUGAACUGAUAACCACAUUUUCCCCCACGACGUAAUUGCAGUAGCACCACCAUGGUCCAGAAUCCAUCUACGCCCACUCUGCAUGGCUCCUUGUCCAUCUUUAGCUCCUUCACCAAGCAACCUUAAAGUAACAUAAGUCAAGACACUACCAAACAUAGUACUCGGGCCCUCGAUGUGCAAUCCCCACCCACCAUCUUUGUUCUGCAAUUAAACAUCUCUAAAUUAACAAAUUUUGGUCCCACGUGCAGAAACUCUACAAUACGAGAUCUCUGAUAAACAAACAAAAGUUUAGCAAAUAAUAAGGUACCAGUGAAAAGGUGCAUGUGCCCCAAAUUUAAAAUCUAAAUUGAUCCUUGCCUGAUGAUUGUAAAGGUAUCGACAGAUCUCCUUCUUAUGCUCAUCUGAUAAAACUGCAUUUAAUGCCCCAGUGAUAGUCAAAGUAAUCACCUGAUCAUUUGAUGGGAAAAAAAUGUCAGGAAUGACAAUGAUUACAUUUAUCAUGAAAGAAAAAAUAAAAAAUUUUAGCGGCCUCCAGUGUACUUUUAUGUUCCUGAAGGCUAAGAAAUUGAUCUAAAAUACAACCCACUCCAUUUUGGGAUGACCUGGAAUAUUUUCCGCAACAGAAGACUUUGCCAUUAUCAGCACUUACCAGGCCAGGAAGUAGAAACAUAGGACCUCCAUAGUCCCCGGGCCAAUGUCCAUCAUGGGCUUGAAGUGUUGAAUGGUAACUUAUACCCCUUCUUACUGUAUUUGUCACUGCCUCUUCAGUCACAUCUUCAGUUUCUUUUACUUUGACCUGGGGUAAAACAGCACGGCCUGGGUUCUCCUUGGAAAACUAUAUUUUUGUGAGGAAAGAUAAAUGGUUAUAAGGAGUGAUGGCAUUUAGACAUUAUAUAAAAAUAACUUUAUGUACAAAUGUUUGAGCAUUAACAAUCUCAUUCACCAUUCCCCUCAGAGCAAAGCAAAAUAAAAAAUGAAUAUGUCAAAUGAAUAGUCUCCCAUGAAGCUCUCUCAACAUGUUUUUUCUCAAGAAAAGAUGAUAUAAAUCUCUGAUGAUUUACACAAAAAAGUAAUCAAGGAGGCAGCUUCAUUUUCUGGAUGAGUUAAGCAGCCGGUUGUAAAAUCUUGACCACUAUUCUAACUACAGAAGGACAGGAAAUUUUAGAUUUUAUCUUAUAUAGGAGACGUGUAAAUCUAUUUUAUAUUAGAAAACUUAAACGCAUAAUUAAUUUUGCAAUAAUAUUGGACAAGAGGUCAAAGGGAAACCUGUUUAGAGGAGUCUUCUGCUGUUCAAACUUAAUAACUCUUUCAAUGUAACCCACAAAAGAUAAAUUUCUUUAAACCAACACUAAAAUGUUCUUUAUGGAAAUGCAAAGGUGAAGGCUUAUGAUUGCAUAUUCACUAACCUUAGAACUCAAGUCACAACAAUAUCACCUAUAGCAGUAUAUUGUACAGAAAGAACCAGUUUAUGUUUAAUUAUUCCACCUAUUUAAUGGAAAGCACUAUGCUUCUAAUAAGUUAUCUUAGAGCUCAGGCAAUGCUUUUAGAUAACCAGAAGUACUUGUGGUAAUGUUUGGCAAAACAUAUUUAAAACUGAUUUCUGGAAAAACACCCAGCAUGCACUUCUUCAGGAAGCACUUCCAAGUUAUUUUCAAGGAAAAAUAAUUUGUUGUGUUUCUAACAAAAGCAGUUCAGCAAAAGUGCUUAUGAAAGGGGCCAUUACACAAUAUGCCCUUUGCAUUUAAAAAUAAAAAAGAUGAAAGGUAUAAAGUAUAAGGUGUACAGGAUUUAUCAUUGACUACAAGUAGAUAAUUUUUUGCAGGGUGCUUACUGCUAUUUAGUUCAAUUUAGUGAUUCAAACUUUAAGUUAUAACCAGUUUCAGAAUGGUUAAAAAGUGGUAGUUUUAGAGUUGACCACAUCUAGUUACACACUGGCUUGCACUUGUUCCUGUUGGUAGAAUUUGAAUUUCAGAAGAGCCUAGCUCAAAGUACUUCAGAAGUUUUUU